rnacentral:rRNA from 1 species
UUAGUAAACAGAAACCUCGGUGGAAGAUUACUAAUGAGAGUGGCGAACGGGUGAGUAACGCGUGAGCAACCUGCCUAUGACAGUGGGAUAGCCUCGGGAAACCGGGAUUAAUACCGCAUAAAAUCGCAGAAACACAUGUUUCAACGGUUAAAGAUUUAUCGGUCAUAGAUGGGCUCGCGUCUGAUUAGCUAGUUGGUGAGGUAACGGCCCACCAAGGCGACGAUGGGUAGCCGGCCUGAGAGGGUGAACGGCCACAUUGGAACUGAGAAACGGUCCAAACUCCUACGGGAGGCAGCAGUGGGGAAUAUUGCACAAUGGAGGGAACUCUGAUGCAGCGACGCCGCGUGAACGAUGAAGGCUUUCGAGUCGUAAAGUUCUUUUAUAUGGGAAGAUAAUGACGGUACCAUAAGAAAAAGCCCCGGCUAACUACGUGCCAGCAGCCGCGGUAAUACGUAGGGGGCUAGCGUUGUCCGGAAUCACUGGGCGUAAAGGGUUCGCAGGCGGAAAUGCAAGUCAGAUGUAAAAGGCAGUAGCUUAACUACUGUAAGCAUUUGAAACUGCAUAUCUUGAGAAGAGUAGAGGUAAGUGGAAUUUUUAGUGUAGCGGUGAAAUGCGUAGAUAUUAAAAAGAAUACCGGUGGCGAAGGCGACUUACUGGGCUCAUUCUGACGCUGAGGAACGAAAGCGUGGGUAGCAAACAGGAUUAGAUACCCUGGUAGUCCACGCUGUAAACGAUGAGUGCUAGGUAUCGGAAAAAUUCGGUGCCGCAGUUAACACAUUAAGCACUCCGCCUGGGGAGUACGUGCGCAAG